rnacentral:rRNA from 1 species
CCUACGGGUGACAGCAGUAGGGAAUAUUGCUCAAUGGGCGAAACCCUGAACCAGCAACGCCGCGUGGAGGAUGAAGGUUUUAGGAUUGUAAACUCCUUUUGUGAGAGAAGAUAAUGACGGUAUCACUCGCAUAAGCACCGGCUAAAUCCGUGCCAGCAGCCGCGGGAAUACGGCGGGUGCAAGGGUUACUCGGAAUCACUGGGCGUAAAGGGUGCGCAGGGGGGCUUGUAAGUCAGAUGUGAAAUCCUGUAGUUUAACUACAGAACUGCAUUUGAAACUAGGAGUCUAGAGUGUGGGAGAGGUAGGUGGAAUUCUUGGUGUAGGGGUAAAAUGCGUAGAUAUCAAGAAGAAUACUGAUUGCGAAGGCAACCUACUGGAACAUUACUGACGCUCAUGCACGAAAGCGUGGGGAGCAAACAGGAUUAGAUACCCUAGUAGUC